rnacentral:rRNA from 1 species
GAUGAACGCUGGCGGCGUGCCUAAUACAUGCAAGUCGAGCGAACAGACGAGGAGCUUGCUCCUCUGACGUUAGCGGCGGACGGGUGAGUAACACGUGGAUAACCUACCUAUAAGACUGGGAUAACUUCGGGAAACCGGAGCUAAUACCGGAUAAUAUAUUGAACCGCAUGGUUCAAUAGUGAAAGACGGUUUUGCUGUCACUUAUAGAUGGAUCCGCGCCGCAUUAGCUAGUUGGUAAGGUAACGGCUUACCAAGGCAACGAUGCGUAGCCGACCUGAGAGGGUGAUCGGCCACACUGGAACUGAGACACGGUCCAGACUCCUACGGGAGGCAGCAGUAGGGAAUCUUCCGGAAUGGGCGAAAGCUUGACGGAGCAACGCCGCGUGAGUGAUGAAGGUCUUCGGAUCGUAAAACUCUGUUAUUAGGGAAGAACAAAUGUGUAAGUAACUAUGCACGUCUUGACGGUACCUAAUCAGAAAGCCACGGCUAACUACGUG